UUAAAGGGCUGCAGUAUAUUGACUGUACAAAGGUAGCAUAAUCAUUAGUCUUUUAAUUGGAGACUUGUAUGAAAGAUUUGAUGAAAUAUAAACUGUCUCUAAUUUAUUUAUAAAAAUUAAUUUUUUAGUUAAAAAGCUAAAAUUUUAUUAAAAGACGAGAAGACCCUAUAGAGUUUUAUAUUUGUUAUUAAUUAUAUAUAUAUAUAUAUAUAUAAUAUUUAAAUUUAUUUAAUUAAUAAUAAAUAUUGUAUUGGGGUGAUAAAAAAAUUAAAUAAACUUUUUUUAAAUGAAAAAUAUAAAUAAAUAAAAUUAUGAUCCAUUAUUAAUGAUUAAAAGAAAAAAUUACCUUAGGGAUAACAGCGUAAUAUUUUUUUUUAGAACAAAUAAGAAAAAAAGUUUGCGACCUCGAUGUUGGAUUAAGAUAAAAUUUAAAUGCAAAAGUUUAAAAUUUUGAUCUGUUCGAUCAUUAAAAUCUUACAUGAUCUGAGCUC
rnacentral:rRNA from 1 species